rnacentral:rRNA from 1 species
UACGUAGGGGGCUAGCGUUGUCCGGAAUCAUUGGGCGUAAAGCGCGUGUAGGCGGCCCGGUAAGUCCGCUGUGAAAGUCGGGGGCUCAACCCUCGGAUGCCGGUGGAUACUGUCGGGCUCGAGUACGGAAGAGGCGAGUGGAAUUCCUGGUGUAGCGGUGAAAUGCGCAGAUAUCAGGAGGAACACCGGUGGCGAAGGCGGAUCUCUGGGCCUUACCUGACGCUCAGGCGCGAAAGCUAGGGGAGCGAACUGG